AGUAAAGCUACUAAGGGCGUACGGAGGAUGCCUAGGUACAUGGAGGCGAUGAAAGACGUGGUAAGCUGCGAAAAGCCUCGGGGAGGUGCAAACAACUUUAGAUCCGGGGAUUUCUGAAUGGGGCAACCCGGUACCGGUCAUACGGUACCACUCCUGCCUGAAUAAAUAGGGCAGGUAGAGCAAACGGGGUGAACUGAUACAUCUAACUAACCCCAGGAAGAGAAAAUACAAAUGAUUUCCUCAGUAGCGGCGAGCGAACGGGAAAAAGUCUAAACCAUUAGCGUGUCAAAUCUGUAAGUUUUGCGUUAGUGGUGUAGUGGGGUCAUUCUGGAGCGGGUUACAGACCGCUCGACAAGUUAUAAAAUCCAAUGUUAAUCGAAUGACAUGGAAAGGUCAGCCAUAGCAGGUGAUAGCCCUGUAGGUGAAAAUUGAGGAUCUUGUUGAGAAUGAUUCCCGAGUAGCGCGGGACACGAGAAAUCCUGUGUGAAUCCGCCGGGACCAUCCGGUAAGACUAAAUACUCCCAUGUAACCGAUAGUGAACUAGUACCGUGAGGGAAAGGUGAAAAGUACUCCUAGCGGAGAGUGAAAUAGAACCUGAAACCGUAUGCCUACAAGCGGUCGGAGCCUACGGCUACAUCUUCGGAUGUGGUGUCGGGGUGACGGCGUGCCUUUUGCAUAAUGAGCCAGUGAGUUGCUCAUAUGUUGCUAGGUUAAAGUCAUAAGACUGGAGCCGUAGGGAAACCGAGUCUGAAUAGGGCGUUGAGUAGCAUGUGGCAGACCCGAAACCGAGUGAUCUAGCCAUGGCCAGGUUGAAAUUCCGGUAACACGGAAUGGAGGACCGAACCCACCAAUGUUGAAAAAUUGGGGGAUGAGCUGUGGCUAGGGGUGAAAGGCCAAUCAAACUCGGAGAUAUCUGGUUCUCGCCGAAAUGUCUUUAGGGGCAGCGUCAUGGUAAUGUACCGGGGGUAGAGCACUGGAUGGGCUAGGGAGCCUACAAGCUUACCGACCCCAACCAAACUCCGAAUACCGGAUACAUGUUCCAUGGCAGUGAGACUGCGGGGGAUAAGCUUCGUAGUCGAGAGGGAAACAGCCCAGACCAACAGCUAAGGUCCCAAAAUCUAUGCUAAGUGAUAAAGGAUGUCAAAUCGCCCAGACAGCUAGGAGGUUGGCUUAGAAGCAGCCAUCCUUUAAAGAAAGCGUAACAGCUCACUAGUCAAGGGGUUUUGCGCCGAUAAUUCCCGGGACUGUUAAGCAUAGUACC
rnacentral:rRNA from 1 species